AUUUUCACAAAAUUGUCUUUAGAGAGAAAUUAGAAUGCUAAGGAGGGAGGGGGGGAAAUCAUAUGUAUAGCUUUAUCUCCUCUUGCUUUUAUUAUGGAAUUUUGAGAAAAGAGUAGAAAGCAUAUUUGAUGGGCUCUCUCUAUGACUGUAGAUACUACCUACACUGUGAGCAGUGAAAAGACAGUGAUGCAGAAUUGUCCUUUUAUGGAUUUCUCAUUGGCCUUCUUGCUUCGGUGACUUGAACGAGGAAUAAAACAAUACUCUUCUCCUGGAACAGGGUGGUUUUGAAUGUGGGUGUAGAACCAGAUUGGUGAGUGGUGGUGUCGGUCAAAUGCCUAGUUGUGUUUAAGAUUUAUAUGUCAACAUUGUGGGUGUUUUGCCCACACACUAUGGGGUAACAACCCAUAUUUGAUUUUAAUUUUUUUCCAAUGGUAUUGAGGGUGUGUGUCUGAGUGUUUGUGACUUAGUGAUUGUCUGGGCAAAAGAGGUAGGUCAUUUGGAGUUACUUGUCAUUCUGAUGUUGGCCAGUUUCUGUCUGCCUCCCUAUGCCUUGUGAAGCACAAUAGAAACAAUAAUUUAGAAAGCAAGUGAUCAGCUUCCAAGGGCAAAAUGCUAGUAGAUUCCAGACUUUAAAUGUAUGAUUUGUGGGGGUUGCCAGAUAUUACAUUCAGAAAUCCAAAUUCACAAAGUACUAGAUUCUCAGAUUAUCUUCUAAAGCAGACCCAUGGUGAGUUGUUGAAGUGCGUCAUUUCAGUAAGUUACAUAUGACUAGACUUGCUCUAAAUUGAAAAGUUAAAUUAAAUUACUGUUCAUGUAACAUUUCUUUCCAAGUAUUGAGUUUGAUUUCCAUUACUUACUAAGCAGCUCAUCAGUGAUUUUAUUUCUACUGUCUUAGUCCAUUUAUUGUUUAUUUAAAGUCCUUUAGAAAACACAUUUCACUGCUAUUUUAUAAUGAGUUUACUACACAGCAAAUACUGGGUUAAUAUUGAAGUAUUGAUUUUUUUAUCUUUCAGUAUAAUUUAAUA
rnacentral:lncRNA from 1 species